rfam:Danio rerio chromosome 11 genomic contig CTG1054, GRCz11 reference primary assembly.
GGGGGUAUAGUUUAGUUGUAGAGCAUUUGACUGCACAUCAAGGUCCCUGGUUUAAAUUCGGGUGCCCCUU